rnacentral:rRNA from 1 species
CCUACGGGGGGCAGCAGUGAGGAAUAUUGGUCAAUGGACGCGAGUCUGAACCAGCCAAGUAGCGUGAAGGAUGACUGCCCUAUGGGUUGUAAACUUCUUUUAUAAGGGAAUAAAAUGAGGCAUGUGUGCCUUUUUGCAUGUACUUUAUGAAUAAGGAUCGGCUAACUCCGUGCCAGCAGCCGCGGUAAUACGGAGGAUCCGAGCUUUAUCCGGAUUUAUUGGGUUUAAAGGGAGCGUAGAUGGGUUGUUAAGUCAGUUGUGAAAGUUUGCGGCUCAACCGUAAAAUUGCAAUUGAUACUGGCAGUCUGGAGUACAGAUGAGGUAGGAGGAAUUCGGGGUGUAGCGGUGAAAUGCUUAGAUAUCACGAAGAACCCCGAUUGCGAAGGCAGCUUACUAAACUGUGACUGACAUUGAUGCUCGAAAGUGUGGGUAUCAAACAGGAUUAGAUACCCCAGUAGUU